CACGACCAGAAGGCGCUUACAUCAAUCUGCCUACUCACGACUAAAAAGUCUAGUUGGCAACAAGCAAUAACAGAAUGACAGAUAGCCCUCAUUACAAAUGUGCUCAAUUAAGCCUAUCACAUCUAACUUCCAACUAUUCCUAUCUAAAUUCCAUGUAACGGUGAUAUUCGUCGCCUCCGGACCUCAAUUGGUGUACAACAAAGUAAAACCGAAAUUUAAACAAGAAUAGUCUUCCAUCAAAUGUCUAAGUAAGAUACCUCCUUACCCUUAUUAGUAGGGCUAGCCUCUCCUCGAUCAGACCUCGAGGAUGUCAUGUGAGACGAAGUAGAUAAUUUCUGGGCAAACUUUGGCUUAAGUCCACCAAAAUGCUUGCGUAAAGAAAUGAGCCCAAACCCAGGCCCAUAAGCCCAAACCUUACCAACCCCAAACCCUUCUCUCUUCCAAGCAAACAACGAUGCUCUUGGCGGCCACCACCUGCAAGCCUUUGGCGGCCACGUUUUCCAGUCCUCACCUGGUCCAAUCGGUGUCAUCGGACCCAAUCAGCUGCCUUACAACCCUCGUCUCCAAACGACCCCGUCAGACGGAAAGAGAAGUCCCGCCGGUAGCCAAUUCUCGAGACGACGAAAUUUGUUAUGGCAGCGUCAACAGAGGCCGAUAGAUAGGCUUGGUUGAAAAGUAGAGAUCCGUGGUCUCUGGUAGGGAUCGCAACGCUAGGGUUUUGGAAGAAAACUAGAUGAGUAGAGGCUCCUGGUUUCUCGGAGCAAACCGAGUCUUAGGUCAAGAAGUACCAUCAGACAUUAUUUGUUGCUCAAGUAUGCUGCAAGUAAAUUGAUAAGAAUAGUGCGGCGAAAAAUAAGACAAGUAAAUUGAUAAGAAUAAAUUGUCACACGUGUUGAGCAAAGGAACAAGUAACAAAUACAGGAGUAGAGUCCUCCACGGUAAAAAAAGAGCAAACUUGACAUACUGAAACCAAUGGAAUGCCUCGUCGUUGAAGCUGGUCAUAUGUGGGUAACUUGUUGGGGGAGAAGAUGCCAGACAAGAAUGGAGAACCAUUAAUGGUGGAAUAAAAUUCUGCUAAACCUUAUUUUCACUGCAACCAAUAUUCGUCUUAUAUUAGAAUUACCAUGUGACGGUAUGCUUGGUUGUUAGGAUGCUUGGAGAAAG
rnacentral:lncRNA from 1 species